rnacentral:rRNA from 1 species
GACAGAGGGGGCAAGCGUUGCUCGGAAUUACUGGGCGUAAAGGGCGCGUAGGCGGGAUGGCAAGUCGGUCGUGAAAUCCUUCGGCUCAACCGAAGAACGUCGAUCGAUACUGCUGUUCUUGAGGGUUGCAGAGGAGACUGGAAUUCCCGGUGUAGCGGUGAAAUGUGUAGAGAUCGGGAGGAACACCGGUGGCGAAGGCGGGUCUCUAGGCAAUUCCUGACGCUGAGGCGCGAAAGCGUGGGGAGCAAACGGG